CACUAUGCCAUUCAGGAGGGAUAUAAUUUCCCAAAGCUCUGACAUUGACCUCCAGACAGUCCUUCAGGAGUGGCCGCUUUACAAAUAUUCACGAGCGCCAGAACUGAUUGCCAUGGAUUACAAUUUUAUAAAACCGAAUAAUGGGUUCGACUUCACCAAAUGGGAACAAUUUUCGAAAAUAGCCCUAGAAUUGUUCACAGCGAGGAUCAAGUGCAGCGCUCUUAAAUCAUUCCUCAAUGAAUUCAGGGAGAAUAUUGACGACCUUGACAUAGAUAACGUCAAUAUUGGCUAUGCAACUCUGUUACAUGGAGUGUUGCCUCCAUCAUCGCAGCAGUUUAAUGGUAAAUUGAAGAAAUUUACAAUUGAAGAUUCAAAAUCAUCUUUCACUCUGGAAGUGGAAUGUGCAGGCCAGGUCGAACCUAUGCUAAAAAUAAAAAGGGAGGAAUGUUUAAAAUCGAAAACAAAACUUCAGCCCCUAAUAAUUGUUGUUGGUGAGAGAUUUCAUUAUAAUAAUUUUUAUGUGUCCUUGGACAAUAUUAUGUUUAAAUUAGAUACUUAUUUGGACUGCAUUAUUUUUUAUUUAAAGCUCGUUUAUGUAUUAAAUAUUCAAUACCCUCCACAGUGUUUUUCGGUAUGGGUUUUUAUACAAAUGUUUUUCUUUAAUAUUCAAGACUGUAAAAAAAUACCUUCUGUUUCAACUUUACUAAAUGAUAUCAAUGCAUUAAUUAAUUAAAUUAUAUCAAUGUAUUAUUUUGUACAGUCCAUGUUCUACAUAUACAGUACUGGACAAAAUAAAAUACGCACUAUCCGAACUUUCUUAUUUAUGCUUUUCUCGCUCCCCAAGUCAUCAAUAAAAUAUUCUAAAGUAGUGAUUAAGAAAGUCUAAUACUAUCCUUAUACGGUUCUGUCGAAAUAAUGUAAAAAAUGCUUGAAACGAGAGAGAAAAUAAUUUAAGUUCUUAAUUUAAGUUCUCACUAAAGAUUAUUUUAUUGAUAACUUGGGGAGCGAGAAUAGCAUAAAUGUUCGGAUAGUGCUUUUUUUAUUUUGUCCAGUACUGUAUUUAAUGUAUUGCUGAAGUGAGUUUGUAAAAAGAAAG